UAUAAUGCAUUACCAACUAUUAGAUUGCUGAAAAUAAAGAUUAGAGAGUAGAUUAAGAUUUGUUCUGUCAUUGUUUUUUCUCCUUCCCAUCACAUAUCGACUUGUCAAUUUCCCAGGGUGGCACCCAGGGGAAGUCGGUACAGUUUGGAUGGGUCUUGUGAUACUCCUCAUUAUCAAAAAGGCAGUUGACGCAGAUGGGUUCACGGUCAUAAGUGUAUCCCUCUGCCUCGUGGUCGCCGUAACUGCAUUUCUCAGUCAUCAGUUAUACUAAAAUCAUAAAUUUCUUCUGUCCCAUACUCAUAAUCAUCUCCGUUUUCAAAUAUAACAUGUAGAAUGGGGUUUUUCUUUGGAAACGGAUUUGAUUCAUACACGAAUCGUUCCACGUUUUCGAUUACUUGUUGAGG
rnacentral:rRNA from 1 species